CGGGGGUGUGGAGCGCCAGCGAGCCCAAGGUCUCCCUGGCGAGCAUGGCAGGACUGGAGGGCUCCAGGCAGGGCUCCUCGGCGUCCCUCGGGGCCCCGACGGAGGUGCCGGAGAUCUUCCGGCUACAAACCCGGGCAGGUGAGGCUCGUUAGCCGUGGGAGGCAAUUCACCUAGGAGAGCAAACUCUAUACAAACCCGGGCAGGUGAGGCUCGUUAGCCGUGGGAGGCAAUUCACCUAGGAGAGCAAACUCUAUACAAACCCGGGCAGGUGAGGCUCGUUAGCCGUGGGAGGCAAUUCACCUAGGAGAGCAAACUCUAUACAAACCCGGGCAGGUGAGGCUCGUUAGCCGUGGGAGGCAAUUCACCUAGGAGAGCAAACUCUAUACAAACCCGGGCAGGUGGAGGUCGUUAGCCGUGGUAGGCAGUUCACCUAGGAGAGCAAACUCCGAACAACAAACCCGGGCAGGUGGAGGUCGUUA